rnacentral:rRNA from 1 species
CACGUAGGGCGCAAGCGUUGUCCGGAAUUAUUGGGCGUAAAGGGCUCGUAGGCGGCCAACUAAGUCAGACGUGAAAUCCCUCGGCUUAACCGGGGAACUGCGUCUGAUACUGGAUGGCUUGAGUUUGGGAGAGGGAUGCGGAAUUCCAGGUGUAGCGGUGAAAUGCGUAGAUAUCAGGAGGAACACCUGUGGUGUAGACAGCUUACUGGACCAUUUCUGACGCUGAGACACGAAAGCGUGGGUAGCAAACAGG